AGGCUGGCGGACGUGCGCCCCAUGGCGGAGCGAGCUGAAGUUGCAGCCUGGGACCAGGGAAAUCAAGAGGUAAAAAUGCGGCCAAACCAUUAUGAGGAAAAGGGGCCAAGAAUUACACUGUAGCGCCUCGCGCCGGCUCCCCGGUCUCCUGGGGAGCGAAGGGAGCCUGAAGAGCUGGUCCUUAUACAGCUUUCUGAAAUCCCUGAGAUCUGUCAAUGAAUCGCGCAUCUUUCACUCCACAAGUAUUUGUUGAACGUCAUUGUGAUCAUGCUGGCUGCUGUGUGGAGAAAAGACCGAGGGGAAGUAAAAGAACAAAGAACAAAAGAGAACAUGAUGGCUUGGAUCAAGCCUGGUUCUUGACUAUCCCCUAAAAUUGUCAGUCAGUAGAAGCUCACUGAGUAUCAUCUGAAUUUAAAUCACCAUUAGCUCCCUUCUGAUGAAGCAGGAGUUGACUCAGCUGGGCUUUCAGCUGGACACGGAAAGCGGAGGUAGAUGAAUUGUCAUGAUCAAGUGGGUGUCAUCAAGUACUUAGAAAGGUUUCAUUUUGUUCCUACUGUCUUUCCAACUUACUAAUAAAAAUAUUGAAAUCUAUUUCAAAAAUGAGGUAGCCUCAUGUUAUUUUAUAUCUGUCAGGAAUAUAGUACCAUGGGGAAUUUUAUUUCCCCAGAAAGCAAGAUUACACCCCUUUAGUAUGGAACACUGAACUUUAAAAGAGGUGUCCUUGAACGUGUGGAAGUGAA
rnacentral:lncRNA from 1 species